rnacentral:rRNA from 1 species
UACGUAGGGGGCUAGCGUUGUCCGGAUUUAUUGGGCGUAAAGAGCGUGUAGGCGGCCAGGUAGGUCUGCUGUGAAAACUCGAGGCUUAACCUCGAGAUGUCGGCGGAAACCAUCUAGCUAGAGUCCGGAAGAGGAGAGUGGAAUUCCUGGUGUAGCGGUGAAAUGCGCAGAUAUCAGGAAGAACACCCGUGGCUAAGGCGGCUCUCUAGUACGGUACUGACGCUGAGACGCGAAAGCGUGGGGAGCGAACAGG